GUCUAUGGUCAGGCGCUAUGGGAGGCUUCGGCCUGCCGGUUUACCUUGUGCACCGGUCUGCUAACCCGUGGUGUCUGGCCGCCAUU
rnacentral:antisense_RNA from 1 species